AUUUACUAUGGUCUGUUCAGCUGUUGGACGGCCAGAUGCUACGUGUUGUGUUGAGAUAUUUCUGGGUGAGAUUGUAGAGUUGUCAGGCACUGCAUGUGAUUUUGCAUUGUGUCAUCUGCUGGCUGCCAACGUUGUUGCGUUGCUGCAUAGUGUGUCCUUUGUUCUGCUGCCUUGACUGUAUGUGUUGUGAUGCCACAUCGUGUGUUCUGUGCUGUCUGCUGGGUUGCUGUGUACUAGCGUGUGUUGUGUGGCAGGAUUAUGUAGCGGUAUGCUGGCAUUACGUGUUGGUGUGUGGUUACCGUGUCUUGGGAUGUUUCCGGGCUGGCUAUUAGGUCACUGCGUGUCGUGUGUUGGCAUGUACUGUGAUCGUAUUUGCUGGGUGUUCUGUUGCCCUGUGUUGUUGUGUUCCGUGAUGCCUGAUGAUUGCCUUGUGCUAUGUCGCGUGCUGUGUGUGUGUUGCCAACCUGUUCUGUGGUUGGGCGUUGUUGCUGUCGAUGUGCUGCAGGAAGCUGUGGGUUCGGUGCUGUCUGUGGCAUUGACAGAUGCUUUUGGGGUGUUGUUAAGCAGCAUGUUGUGACCAUGUGCCCGUGUUUG
rnacentral:lncRNA from 1 species